rnacentral:rRNA from 1 species
GAUGAACGCUAGCGAUAGGCUUAACACAUGCAAGUCGAGGGGCAGCAGGGGAUUAGCUUGCUAAUUCUGCUGGCGACCGGCGCACGGGUGCGUAACGCGUAUGCAACUUGCCUGUUAGAGGGGGAUAACCCGUUGAAAGACGGACUAAUACCGCAUAUACUUUUAGUGUUGCAUGAUACGAAAAGGAAAGAUUUAUUGCUAACAGAUAGGCAUGCGUCCCAUUAGCUAGUUGGUGAGGUAACGGCUCACCAAGGCGACGAUGGGUAGGGGAACUGAGAGGUUGAACCCCCACACUGGUACUGAGACACGGACCAGACUCCUACGGGAGGCAGCAGUGAGGAAUAUUGGUCAAUGGGCGAGAGCCUGAACCAGCCAAGUCGCGUGAAGGAAGACUGUCUUAUGGAUUGUAAACUUCUUUUAUAAGAGAAUAAAAAGGCUUACGUGUAAGCUAUUGAAUGUAUCUUAUGAAUAAGCAUCGGCUAACUCCGUGCCAGCAGCCGCGGUAAUACGGAGGAUGCGAGCGUUAUCCGGAUUUAUUGGGUUUAAAGGGUGCGUAGGUGGUUUGAUAAGUCAGCGGUGAAAAGCAAUAGCUCAACUAUAGUCUUGCCGUUGAAACUGUUGAACUUGAGAGUAUUUGAGGUAGGCGGAAUGCGUGGUGUAGCGGUGAAAUGCAUAGAUAUCACGCAGAACUCCGAUUGCGAAGGCAGCUUACUAAACUACAACUGACACUGAAGCACGAAAAGCGUGGGUAUCAAAACAGGAUUAGAUACCCUGGUAGUCCACGCAGUAAACGAUGAUUACUGGGCGUAUGCGAUAUAAAGUAUGCUCCUAA